rnacentral:rRNA from 1 species
AUGGUGGUACUAUCAGGCCCGGGGACAACAACUGGAAACGGUGGCUAAUACCGGAUGUGCCGAAAGGUGAAAGGCUUGCUGCCAGAAGAUGAGCUCGCGUCUGAUUAGCUAGUAGGUGUGGUAAGAGCGCACCUAGGCGACGAUCAGUAGCUGGUCUGAGAGGAUGAUCAGCCACACUGGGACUGAGACACGGCCCAGACUCCUACGGGAGGCAGCAGUGGGGAAUUUUCCGCAAUGGGCGAAAGCCUGACGGAGCAAUACCGCGUGAGGGAGGAAGGCUCUUGGGUUGUAAACCUCUUUUCUCAAGGAAGAAAAAAAUGACGGUACUUGAGGAAUAAGCAUCGGCUAACUCCGUGCCAGCAGCCGCGGUAAUACGGAGGAUGCAAGCGUUAUCCGGAAUGAUUGGGCGUAAAGCGUCCGCAGGUGGCUAUGUAAGUCUGCUGUUAAAGAGUGAGGCUCAACCUCAUAAAAGCGGUGGAAACUACAUGGCUAGAGUGCGUUCGGGGCAGAGGGAAUUCCUGGUGUAGCGGUGAAAUGCGUAGAGAUCAGGAAGAACACCGGUGGCGAAAGCGCUCUGCUAGGCCGCAACUGACACUGAGGGACGAAAGCUAGGGGAGCGAAUGGGAUUAGAUACCCC